AGUCGAACGAAAUCUUCGGAUUUAGUGGCGGACGGGUGAGUAACGCGUGAGAAUCUGGCUUCAGGUCUGGGACAACCACUGGAAACGGUGGCUAAUACCGGAUGUGCCGAGAGGUGAAAGGUUAACUGCCUGAAGAUGAGCUCGCGUCUGAUUAGCUAGUUGGUAGAGUAAGAGCCUACCAAGGCGACGAUCAGUAGCUGGUCUGAGAGGACGAUCAGCCACACUGGGACUGAGACACGGCCCAGACUCCUACGGGAGGCAGCAGUGGGGAAUUUUCCGCAAUGGGCGAAAGCCUGACGGAGCAAUACCGCGUGAGGGAGGAAGGCUCUUGGGUCGUAAACCUCUUUUCUCAGGGAAGAACACAAUGACGGUACCUGAGGAAUAAGCAUCGGCUAACUCCGUGCCAGCAGCCGCGGUAAUACGGAGGAUGCAAGCGUUAUCCGGAAUGAUUGGGCGUAAAGCGUCCGCAGGUGGCAAUGUAAGUCUGCUGUUAAAGAGUCUAGCUCAACUAGAUAAGAGCAGUGGAAACUACAUAGCUAGAGUACGUUCGGGGCAGAGGGAAUUCCUGGUGUAGCGGUGAAAUGCGUAGAGAUCAGGAAGAACACCAGUGGCGAAGGCGCUCUGCUAGGCCGUAACUGACACUGAGGGACGAAAGCUAGGGGAGCGAAUGGGAUUAGAUACCCCAGUAGUCCUAGCCGUAAACGAUGGAUACUAGGCGUGGCUUGUAUCGACCCGAGCCGUGCCGUAGCUAACGCGUUAAGUAUCCCGCCUGGGGAGUACGCCGGCAACGGUGAAACUCAAAGGAAUUGACGGGGGCCCGCACAAGCGGUGGARUWKKKGGUUUAAUUCGAUGCAACGCGAAGAACCUUACCAAGGCUUGACAUGUCGCGAAUCCUGGUGAAAGCUGGGAGUGCCUUCGGGAGCGCGAACACAGGUGGU
rnacentral:rRNA from 1 species